CCCCUGCCUCGCUUGCCCUCAGUUAUGCCAGUGAGAGCUAGAUGUUCAAGACCCUGUCGAUGGGUGUGUUUCUUUUUUCAUAAAAAGCAAGACAGUCAACAAACUUUAAGAGGAUACCAAAAACUUCCCAAGGUCUACAAAUUGACGAGCGCCAGACGGUCCACCGUGUCGUGACACAUAUUGAAUAUAAAUAAGCAGUUUUUACAAUUUUGCAGGAGAAUCAAAAGGGAAAAAAGCAACAAACAAACAAAGACUGAAUGAUGUUACCAAGAAAAAACCAAAACUCUUUGCAAACUCUCCAAGUCAUUGUUUUAAAGAAUAAAAAUUUGAUAAUAAUAUCCUA